rnacentral:rRNA from 1 species
UACAGAGGUCUCAAGCGUUGUUCGGAUUCAUUGGGCGUAAAGGGUGCGUAGGCGGGUCUUUAAGUCAGGGGUGAAAUCCUGGAGCUCAACUCCAGAACUGCCUUUGAUACUGAAGAUCUUGAGUUCGGGAGAGGUGAGUGGAACUGCGAGUGUAGAGGUGAAAUUCGUAGAUAUUCGCAAGAACACCAGUGGCGAAGGCGGCUCACUGGCCCGAUACUGACGCUGAGGCACGAAAGCGUGGGGAGCAAACCGG